rnacentral:rRNA from 1 species
UGGGGAAUAUUGCGCAAUGGGGGGAAACCCUGACGCAGCAACGCCGCGUGAAUGAAGAAGGCCUUAGGGUUGUAAAGUUCUGUUUUCUGGGACGAUAAUGACGGUACCAGAGGAGGAAGCCACGGCUAACUACGUGCCAGCAGCCGCGGUAAUACGUAGGUGGCAAGCGUUGUCCGGAUUUACUGGGCGUAAAGGAUGCGUAGGCGGAUGUUUAAGUGAGAUGUGAAAUACCCGGGCUUAACUUGGGUGCUGCAUUUCAAACUGGAUAUCUAGAGUGCAGGAGAGGAAAGCGGAAUUCCUAGUGUAGCGGUGAAAUGCGUAGAGAUUAGGAAGAACACCAGUGGCGAAGGCGGCUUUCUGGACUGUAACUGACGCUGAGGCAUGAAAGC